UACGGAGGGUGCAAGCGUUAAUCGGAAUUACUGGGCGUAAAGCGUGCGCAGGCGGUUUGUUAAGUCUGUUGUGAAAUCCCCGAGCUCAACUUGGGAAUUGCAAUGGAUACUGGCAGGCUGGAGUAUGGUAGAGGAAGGUGGAAUUCCCGGUGUAGCAGUGAAAUGCGUAGAGAUCGGGAGGAACACCAGUGGCGAAGGCGGCCUUCUGGACCAAUACUGACACUGAGAGACGAAAGCUAGGGGAGCAAAUGGG
rnacentral:rRNA from 1 species